rnacentral:lncRNA from 1 species
AAAGCAUGAUAUUGAUUUGCAUAACACAUAUUCAAGAUGAAGUUGUGUAGUUACCACCACCAAAUCCAAAUUGCCGUGUAUCCUACUUCAUUAUUUGUUUAAGUUAACCCCAUUGAGCCUUGUUAGCCUACGUUCUUUGUUAACCCACGUUAUCCUCACCUAGCCUAGAUUAGGACCAUCCAUACCCUUGUUCUUAAAGCAUAGUAAAGCAUGAUUCAAAUUGAAUUCCUUUUGAGUAAUGUUUGGCAGAAAACAAGUGUGGGGGAAGUGUUUCUCACGUAAGUAGUGUGCCAUAGGCACGGGUGGAAAGAAAAGAAAAGAAAAAUUCGUGCUAUGAAAAAAAAAAAAAAAAAGUUGAAUUUGACCCUAUAGAGUUGUUUAAAUCUUUCCCUUAUGUCUAAAAGUUGAUUUCUGCAAUCUAAGUGAAUUCUAAGUUCAAGUUCAUUACUUUAUUUGCUAUUGCUUUAAGAACGUUUGUUUUCCCUUACUUUCAUUUGUUAGCCAACACCCCAAGCCCCGUUACAACCUUUGACUUCAAUCUUGAGUGUUAUGUGUUUCAAUUUGUGGAGUUUGAAUUUGGUAUGAGCAUAUGGUGUCACUGGUUCUCGCAUCUAAGUAGUAGCAUUCCAUUCAUGAGAUCAUAUCUAAACAUGCUCCAGAAAUCGCUUUCUUUGUAAUACAUAUAUGUGAGCGUUCGUUUUCAUGUUUACAUCAAUCUUCUCACAUAUAACUAGUAUAGGGUGUGUAGUUAGAAAAUCUGAGUGAAAAUUGAGUUAAUAUCUUGUAAGGACUUGAGCAAAUUCUCUAAGGCAUGUUACUACAUUCAAAACAUUGUUUUAAUUGCUUAAAUGUGAACUAGUAAGUGGUGACUAUGAUUAAGUAUGUGCUUAAGUGUGAAGACAACUAAAAUCUGUGGGGAUGACAAUUUUUAAUAUGUCAUGUGCAUUGGAAAUCCCUGAGGCAAACGUUGGAAGGUUUAGGUUGGGUUUUGUUGGUUUUGUUGGUUUUGUUUUGUUUAGUUAUUUUGUUUUGCUCGAGGACUAGCAAAAGCUAAGUGUGGGGGAAUUUGAUAAGAGCAUAUUUAUGCGACUUAGUUAGCUUGUUCUUGCGCAUUUAUGUUGUGUUUUCUUGGUUAUUUUAGUGUUUAAAGUCAUUUUUGUGUGUUUUCAGAUUCUAAGGACAAAGUAUGCAAGAAGAUGCAUUUUGGAGGCCUUUGGAGCAGUUUCGGGUUUGGAAUGGAUAGGAAAUGCAUGGAGCAAGGUGGAUGGAUGAAAUUGAAGACAAAAGAGGCUAAGAAUGUGAAGAAUUAUUGUACAAAGGAUAAAGAACUCAGCCACAAAAGGGUGUCACUCCACAAUGCACCUUCCUUGCCGUGCAAUCACCAUUGUAUUCCCUCUGGAUUCCCAUGCCAUGCUUAAUCACCCUUGUCCCCUACAUUAUUUCUGAUUUCAUGCCUCAAUACAUUUAAUUAUUACACUCAAUUGCUGCAUACCUCUUGUUCCCUUCACCCAUCAGAUUUCAUACAACUUUCACAACCAUUACAUGCACCAAUUGAUGCUCCAUCAGCCACCUUUGGAAUCCCAUGCCGUGUGCAACACAUGUGGCUGCACCUUUGACUCAUUUCUGAAACAUUUCACCUCCCUUUUCAUUUCUAUUCAAUGUGCACAAUCAUUCAUGCUCCCUAGCUACAACACCACUCCAUUUUACCCUCCAUACUUUGCAUCAUUACUUCAUUUUCAUCCUUGGACCAUUGCACACCACAAAUUCACCCUCCUUGCUGUGCACUUCCUCCAUUGCCUAACCUGAUUCUCUAGGGUUUUUGGGGCCUAUAUAUACAUGUUUACACCCCUUGGCCAAGGAAACCACCUCCCAUAUUCAUCAUUCAUCACAGAAAAUUCGUCCAUACACACCCUAGGCAGCAAUACACCCCAAAAACACCAUUCUAGUGCCCAAAAAACAUAACAGCCACUCCACCUUAUUCCACCCUCCUUGCCGAGUUCUCCACCACCCUCCAACCAUCAAACACUCCUCCACACUCACCCUAAACCUUUCCAUACCAUUCCCCAUCCAUUCUACACCAUAAAACUACCCAAAACCUGUCCACAAACCAAUCUGCCGCAAGCAAGGGAAAGGAGAAAUCUUGGAUGCACUUGCUGCCAAGUUGGAGCAUUCUAGGUGUUUUCUUUCUUUGGAUUUUAAUGUCUAAUUCAUGUAAUCUUUGUUUUGCUUUAAGUAUGAUUGGCUAAUUUUGUUUUGGCUAAGGGUGUAUUCAAAACCAUGAUUAUAUAUGUGAAAUAAGUUGAUUACUUCCAGUUAUCGUUGCAUAAGUCGUUAAUACAAUUUGCUUAACCGUUGGAUUUAGAACUUAUUCUUGCAUGUUGAUUGAGAGUGCACGCUUAAUUUGCAUGCUUGAAUUUGGUGCUAGGAUAUAAAUUUGUUUCACCUAAUCGUUAUGAAUUUAUAUUCGCAAGUAGUGAAGGUCGCUAGUCACGAUCGUGUUAAGUAGAUUCCUGGCAAAAGUAUCAUGCUUUUCAUAGUUACAAAUGCCUUGUCGAUGCUUAUGAUUUCCAAAGAACGUAAUGAUUCUAACUUGUGUCUUUAUCAUGUUGUUCAUAUAGAGAACUUGUUAGGAAUAAUUUGUUUGCGAUGCAUAUUCAUCCAAUUCAAUGAUUCUAGGGAAAUCUGAAGGUUAAUUUAAGCGGACCUAAUUAACUUGGAGUGUCGAGGUUCAUAACUUAUUGAAUUGAUAACUGGAAAUUGAUUUACGUUGCAUAUAUUUCAUGUGUGGAGAAGAAACCCUUAGCUAUUCCAUCAUCCAUUGAUUCAUCACAAUUUUGUCUUACAAUCUGCCAAAUUAAUUUAAUUUCCUCCAAACACAAUUCCCCCAUAUUUUGUUGAGUCUUAGUCAUUCAAAUCUGUGUUAUUUUGUGUUCUUAAGCAUUUGGAGUCAUAAACACUUUGGAUUCUGUCCAAAUCAAGUUCUAGUUUCUUUUUGAGUCAAUUUGAUUGUUUUAGGCAGUUUUGAGUGCUUUAAAUCUGUUUUAAGUCAUAGUAGUCUUGUUAGAGUCUUUAAGUUUAGUUUUUGUGUUUUUGAAUCAAUUUAUAUUAGAUUAGCACCCCUAGUUAAUCCCUGGUUAGAACGAUCCCUACUUACAUCAUUACUACAAUUGUCACAAAUAGGGUUUAAUUUGUGUGUUUAGUUAUUUUAUGCAUGAAGUAU